CAGGUUAAUAGUUUAAGUAAAAUUUUGGCAUUGGAAGCUAAGGAUUGGAGUUGGUCUCCAUUAUCUGA
rnacentral:tRNA from 1 species